UAAAUUUGAAGCACAACUCAUGUUUCAUGAGUUAGUUGAGGUUAUCAUUUCCCAAUUUCCAAAAUAUUCUGUCAUCUCUUCUAUUCCAAAUUAUAUGCUUCUCCUUAAUUUUGCCGUCAGCAGAAAGAACAAGAGGCAAGAGAGAACAAAAAAAACCACUCAAAAAUUUAUCUAAGAAUGGCCCUUACCUAAAAGUUGAUACGACUUUAAUACUGAUCACACAAAGUGGUGGUCUCUCAAAAGAAUCACAUCUCAAGUCUGAACAUGUCCCUGCUCUGUUCCUAUGGCUUUUGAAUUCCUUGGAAUUGAAAAGGCUAUGUCGUUUUUUGUUCUAAAUUUAUAUGGAUUUGCUUAUUUACUAAAUGAAAAUCCUAGUGAGUUGAUCUCCAAAAAGAAAAACCAACUUGUGUGUGAGCUGGGUUGAUUUGGAGAUUCGGAUGGCUUUUUCUCUCCAGAAACUUGCUGCGUCAAAAUUGAUGGUAUGUUUUCCUGUAUCUUCUCCUUUUGAGGUUUUAUUACGCGAUCUACAAUUUUUUUUUUCCUUUGUGCUUUAUUGGUGUUAGAGUAUGAAUUUAGUCCAUUGAUUCAGUCACGGAUCUACUGUGACAUGAUCUACAGUGAUGUGAUGUUUAUCAAUGUUCUGUGAUCCACUCUGCAGGAGUUUCUCAUGACUCUACUUUUAUAUAACUUAAGGCCCAUAAGCUUCUAUUAUCUUACAUAACAUUACUACUUGUCCCUCCUCCCAAAAAAGAUGGUGGUAUUUGCUCAGAGAAGGGUUAACUGCAGUGAAUUAGGACGUCGAAUUCUUCAUUGUUUAAAAUAAAGUUUAUGCAAUUAGGAUUUAAAUAAAAAUAAUAUGAGAUACAAUUUAUGGUUAAAAUUGUAUAGAAAUUGUUAUAGAGGUGUUAUAGAUGAAAGAAGUGUUUCCAUCUGAUUUAGCAAUGAUAGCAGAUAGUAUCUAAACAUGUUCAGAAAUUCUCAACAUUCUAGAUUUUGAAGGAUCGACGUGUCACAGGUUUCAUAGAAGGAGAUAACUAGUUCUUGGAUUGUUUUAUGUUCAGCACUCGUGAAAAUAAGUGGAAGAUGUGAUGGAUUGAGAUUUGAGAAGGAUUUUACUCCCUUCUUGUGUACAUGGUUUGCAAAGGUGAUGCUACUGAAGCGUCUUGUUACCAUCCAACAGUGUCACAACUCAUGACCUUUCUGUAGAUCGGCUAUGUAAACAAUUUCCAGAAUGUUGUUGCAUGUGUGAUUUGUCUCUCCUCAUUCAAAUAAAUCAGAGAUGCUUAGUUGUAGUUGGGAGAAUAGAAACCUUUAUUUUUGUGCAUCCAGAAUCUAACCUUUCCCAGUUAAUUCUAUAAGCCAGUUCUUAGUAAUUCCACAGCUUUAACAUUGUCAUUCUGAAAGCUAAGAGGGAAUCAGUUUUAGAUGGAGCUUGUAUGAGUAAAACUUCUGUGAGCCUUAUCUAAUUUUUGUUGCAACACAUAGAAACAAGUUAGGGGUAAAGUGUAAAAAUGGGUCAACAUCAUGCUUUCAUAAUACCAAUCGACAAACUCUCCUUCAGAAUAGGAUUGAUUUCUCAGUAUUGUAGACAUCAAAGGCCCAGCAAUUCCACUGUUCUGAGAAAUUGAAGAAGUUUUGGUCAGUUGGGUUCCUUUCUUGUUAGUCCAGCUACCUAUGAGAUUCUGUGGGUUGUCAUAGUGGUCUUUAUCUCAGAUGUUGGAGUAGAAGAUUAAAAGACGAAAGGAUCGCGUGGAGUUUUUUUCCAAAAAUUGUAUAGCCUAAUCUGCGAAAUGUUGGUUUUAGUUCUUAUAGAAGAAAUCAUCAUUCCUGAUCUUUUUGUCCUUCAGCUGAGAGAAUAAGAAAUCAUGCAAUCUCACUAAACUAUUUUAUGAUUCUGUUCCCAAGAGAAGACAUUAUUGAUUGACAAAUUCAACUAUAUGCUCUUUUGCUCUGGAAUCAGUAAGGCAAACAUGUAACAGGUUUUUGUUUCAUGUCUUUUGUAACAAAGCUAUCACAUUUUUCUGGCAAAUGGAUGUGGAUUUUGAGAAGUUUCAUAAGAACUGGUAAAAAAACUGACUCUUUUGCUGGCCUGGCACUAUAUAUUCACAAGAUAAGUUGCAGGAUCUACUUGAACACAAUACAGUCAAACCUCUCUAUAACAACCUCGUUUGUUCUGAAUAUUUUUGGAUGUUAUAGCGAAGUGCUGUUAUAGAGAACAUAUAUUAUAACAUAACAUGAAAAUUGGUUCUGAAAAAACUUGGCUUUCAUAGUGAAGUGUUGUUAUAUAGGGAUAUUGUUAUAGAGAGGUUUGUUUGUACAUAUAUUAAUCCUUGUUCCAUCCCCAUCUUUUGAGCACGUCAACAUUUUGCCAUGUCCACAUGGUACUAUUCACUAAACUUAUAUAUACUUGACUCCACAUAUUCAUCAUAACUGCAGUCAGUCGGCAUCUUACUUCCAUGGACAUUGAUUAAGUGAUUAUUCUUCCCACUAGUAUCAUUUACUUUAAUGUACACUUAGAUAUUUCAGAAGAAAUUUCUGGUUUCAACUUUUGAAUCUCCCCUUAGGCUGACUAUAACAAGGUCGCAACCUAAGUAGUAUCAAAUGGUAAGCAUGUAAAGAGUGUUUUCACAAUGGCCAUGAAAAAUUGCUUUGAGGAUGGCCAAAAAAGCACUUAGCUGAUCAGAUUUACUAUAUUUUCAACAAUCUGGAUUGGUAGAAUGAUCUAUGUCAUUUCCCAACUUUGUUUUUAUAAAUAUUAUAACUCCUACUUUGGUGGUAGCAGACCUGUUUGAUAGCUAGACCACUAUCUCCUGUCUAACUCACCUUCAGCAACUCAAAUUUUGCGAUAUUUUUUAUUUCUGAUCAAAGGAAUGGCAUCUUUUACUGUAAGUCCUAGCUAUUUAGCACGAUAUUGGAAAUCUUAUUGCUAUUACUCAAACAUAUGAAACUUCUGGGGUUUUCAACAGAUGAACGGCUAACUAGAUCUGAUUUGUCAGAUCAACAUGAAAAGCAUUUGUAGUGGUAGCAUCUGUUGUCUUUUGGGUUUGGUAAGGGGAGUAGUUCAUAGAACUUAUAGAUGCUUAUUUGACUGUACUGGUACUGCUGACUCUUCCAUUGUUCUUUCUUGCUGCAAGCCUUGGCUAGGUAACGUUAUUGUGAUUCACGAUAUUCAGAAUUUAGUGUUAGUAACGUUUUAUCAGGAAGAUUGAGAUCUCUAGUGUUAGUAAAUGUUUUAUCAGGAUAUAUAUUCAGAACUCUAUUUGUGGAUAAUUAGAUAACAGUUAAAUGCUCUUGUUUUUUGGCACAUUCUAAUGCUUUUGGUAGGUACUUGAUGCUAUCAGUUGCUACCAACUUGCUGUUGCAAGAUCUCUUGUGUAUAGUAAUCUUUGUUGGGAUAGGUAGCCACUCAAUCGACUCCUGAUCUUCAAUAAGGGAAUCAGACAUAUGUAUUUACAAUGUUGCCUAUGGGAAUUACAUCUCGUUUUGUAAAUCCUAGCAGUUUUAGCACUUCCCCUCUUUCUGAACGAUUAAAUAUCACUACCAAAGCCUUUGGAGUCAGAGUAGCAAAUUUCUGAUGCAAGAAUAUCACAACAGGAUCCUUUUGAGUAGGCAUAGCAAGCUUCAUCUUUUCAUGUGGUAGUUGGUUCCGCUAAUUAUAUUAGUAUUAUCUUUUUCCUUUGAGAACUUAUUGAAUCUUCGUUACUGAUGUUUUACCAGUGUGCCUCAUAAUUUUGAGUUUUAAUU